GAUCAUGGCUCAGAUUGAACGCUGGCGGCAGGCCUAACACAUGCAAGUCGAACGGUAACAGGAAGAAGCUUGCUUCUUUGCUGACGAGUGGCGGACGGGUGAGUAAUGUCUGGGAAACUGCCUGAUGGAGGGGGAUAACUACUGGAAACGGUAGCUAAUACCGCAUAAUGUCGCAAGACCAAAGAGGGGGGACCUUCGGGCCGUCUUGCCAUCGGAUGUGCCCAGAUGGGACUAGCUAGUAGGG
rnacentral:rRNA from 1 species